GAUGAAGAACGCAGCGAAAUGCGAUAAGUAAUGUGAAUUGCAGAAUUCAGUGAAUCAUCGAAUCUUUGAACGCAUCUUGCGCUCCUUGGUAUUCUGAGGAGCAUGCCUGUUUGAGUGUCAUUAAAUUCUCAACUACACUGACUUUGAAUUGGUGUGGCUUGGAUUUGUGGGGAAAAUUGUUGUGGGCUUUUUGUAUAGUCUGCUCCCCUGAAAUUGAUUAGCGGUACCUUUGUGGAACUGUCUACAGGUGUGAUAAUUAUCUACAUCUUAGACAUCUGCUGGAAUGCUGCUUUCUAAACCUUACUUGUAUUGACAAUCUUGACCUCAAAUCAGGUAGGACUACCCGCUGAACUUAAGCAUAUCAAUAAGCGGAGGA
rnacentral:misc_RNA from 1 species